AAUAGAUACCCGGGUAGUCCACGCCGUAAACGUUGGGCGCUAGAUGUGGGGACCAUUCCACGGUUUCCGUGUCGCAGCUAACGCAUUAAGCGCCCCGCCUGGGGAGUACGGCCGCAAGGCUAAAACUCAAAGGAAUUGACGGGGGCCCGCACAAGCGGCGGAGCAUGCGGAUUAAUUCGAUGCAACGCGAAGAACCUUACCAAGGCUUGACAUAUACGAGAACGCUCUAGAAAUAGGGAACUCUUUGGACACUCGUAUACAGGUGGUGCAUGGUUGUCGUCAGCUCGUGUCGUGAGAUGUUGGGUUAAGUCCCGCAACGAGCGCAACCCUCGUUCUAUGUUGCCAGCGGUUCGGCCGGGAACUCAUAGGAGACUGCCGGGGUCAACUCGGAGGAAGGUGGGGAUGACGUCAAAUCAUCAUGCCCCGUUAUGUCUUGGGCUUCACGCAUGCUACAAUGGCCGGUACAAAGGGCUGCAAUACCGUAAGGUGGAGCGAAUCCCGAAAAAGCCGGUCUCAGUUCGGAUUGAGGUCUGCAACUCGA
rnacentral:rRNA from 1 species